CCUACGGGGGGCUGCAGUGGGGAAUAUUGGGCAAUGGGCGCAAGCCUGACCCAGCAACGCCGCGUGAAGGAAGAAGGCUUUCGGGUUGUAAACUUCUUUUGUCAGGGAAGAGUAGAAGACGGUACCUGACGAAUAAGCCACGGCUAACUACGUGCCAGCAGCCGCGGUAAUACGUAGGUGGCAAGCGUUGUCCGGGUUUACUGGGUGUAAAGGGCGUGUAGCCGGGUUGACAAGUCAGAUGUGAAAUCCUGCGGCUUAACCGCAGAACUGCAUUUGAAACUGUUGAUCUUGAGUACUGGAGGGGCAGAUGGAAUUCCUAGUGUAGCGGUGAAAUGCGUAGAUAUUAGGAGGAACACCAGUGGCGAAGGCGGUCUGCUGGACAGCAACUGACGGUGAGGCGCGAAAGCGUGGGGAGCAAACAGGAUUAGAUACCCCUGUAUC
rnacentral:rRNA from 1 species